GUUUCUGUAGUGUAGUGGUCAUCACGUUUGCCUAACAUGCGAAAGCUCCUUGGUUCCAAACCGAGCAGAAACA